rnacentral:lncRNA from 1 species
CAGACUGGUGGGGCAGGUCAGGAAAAAAACACCCAAAAGAUUCCCAAAAAAUCCCAAAAAAUUCCCAAAAAAUCCAAAAAAAAUCCCAAAAAAAAUCCCCAAAAAAUUCCCAAAAAAUCUAAAAAAAUUCCCCCCAAAAAUUCCCAAAUAUUCCCCAAAUAUUUCCCAAAUAUCCCCAAAAAAAUCCCAAAAAAUCCAAAAAAAUUCCCCCCAAAAAUUCCCAUAUAUUCCCCCAAAAAUUCCAAAAAAAAUCCCAAAUAUUCCCCAAAUAUUCCCCAAAAAAUUCCCAAAAAUUUCCCCAAAAAUUCCCCAAAUAUUCCCCCCAAAAUUCAGUACGACAUCUCCGACCCCAAACAUCCCAGACUGGUGGGGCAGGUCAGGAAAAAAACACCCAAAAGAUUCCCAAAAAAUCCAAAAAAUUCCCCAAAAAAUUCCCAAAAAAUUCCCCCAAAUAUUCCCCAAAAAAUAAAAAAAAAAUUCCCCCAAAAAAUCAAAAAAAUUCCCCCAAAAUUAAAAAAAAAUUCCCAAAAAAAUCCCCAAAAAUUCAGUACGACAUCUCUGACCCCAAAAAUCCCAGACUGGUGGGGCAGGUUUUUCUGGGAGGCAGCCUCUGCAAAGGGGGAGCAGUGACGGUGCUGGAAGAUCGGGAAUUGCGGGAACAGCCGGAGCCCUUCGUCAUCCAGGGCAGGAAGGUGCCGGGGGGGCCGCAGAUGCUGCAGCUGAGCCUGGACGGGCGGCGGCUCUACGUGAGCACCUCCCUGUACAGCGCCUGGGACCGGCUCUUCUACCCCGAGCUGCUCAGGUCAGGGCCCACAUCAGCAAGAAUUCAUCAUUCAUUAAUCAUUACAUUAAUAAUUAAUUAAUAAUUAAUUAUUAAUUAUUAAUAUACUAAUAACAUCUUAUAACUGCUGUACUAGUAACUUUCCCAUUCCAAAAUCCCUUCUCCCAAUCCCAAACCCUUCUCCCAAGCCAUUUUCCCAACCUCUUUUCCCAAUCCCAAACCCUUCUCCCAAAUCCCCUUUCCCAGCCCCAAACAUUUAUCCCAAUCCCAAAUCCUUCAAACCCUUCUCCCAAUCCCAAAUCCCAUUUCCCAAUCCCAAAUCCCAUUUCCCAAUCCCAAACCCUUCUCCCAACCCCAAAUCCUUCUCCCAAUCCCAAACCCUUCAAACCCUUCUCCCAAUCCCAAAUCCCAUUCCCCAAUCCCAAACCCUUCUCCCAAUCCCAAAUCCUUUCCCAAUCCCAAACCCUUUUCCCAAAUCCCAAAUCCUUUCCCAAUCCCAAAUCCCUUCUCCCAAUCCCAAACUCUUUUCCCAAAUCCUUUCCCCAUCCCAAAUCCUUCAAACCCUUCUCCCAACCCCAAAUCUCUUCUCCCAAUCCCAAAAUCUUUUCCCAAGCCAUUUUCCCAAAUCCAAUCCCAACCCCUUCAAACCCUUCUCCCAAUCCCAAAUCCUUCUCCCAAUCCCAAAAUCUUUUCCCAAUCCCAAAUCCUUUCCCAAUCCCAAACCCUUUUCCCAAAUCUCUUCCCAGUUCCUUUCCCAAAUCCCAAAUCCUUCUCCCAAUCCCAAAUCCUUUCCCAAUCCCAAACCCUUUCCCAAUCCCAAAUCCCGUUUCCCAUCCCCAAACAUUUAUCCCAAUCCCAAACCCUUUUUCCCAAUCCCAAACCCUUUUUCCCAAUCCCAAACCCUUUUCCCAAAUCCCAAAUCCCAAAUCCCAAUCCCAAAUCCUUCUCCCAAUCCCAAAUCCCUUCUCAGUUCCUUUCCCAAUCCCAAAUCCUUCUCCCAAUCCCAAAUCCUUUCCCAAUCCCAAACCCUUUUCCCAAAUCCCGUUUCCCAUCCCCAAACAUUUAUCCCAAUCCCAAACCAUUUUCCCAAAUCUCUUCCCAGUUCCUUUCCCAAUCCCAAGCCCUUCUCCCAAUCCCAAACCCUUUUCCCAAAUCCCAAAUCCUUUUCCCAAAUCCCAAAUCCUUUCCCAAUCCCAAAUCCUUUUCCCAAAUCUCUUCCCAGUUCCUUUCCCAAAUCCCAAACCCUUUUCCCAAAUCCCAAACCCUUCUCCCAAUCCCAAAUCCCUUCCCAAUCCCAAACCCUUCUUCCAAAUCCCA